AUCUUCGAGUCUCUCUUCCCUCUUGGCACCUCACUGUAACAAAACCGAACCAGAACACCCACUCCCUCUCAUUCCUAAAGCAGCAAGCACACCUAAACUGAACUGCACCCGCUCCACACCUUCGGCCAAAUCAACCAUGUUAUAGAUUGCCUAACAGUUCAUUGUGUUUCAUCAUUUCCACCAGGUCCGUGGCGUUCCUAGGAAGGGGGGAUUACCCUUCCAUUGUUAUUCCCUUCCCCUUCCAGUCGUGCGUUCAUCAACAAAGAAAUGGAGAAUUCAUCGUUGUUACUUCCUUUUCUUCCAUAGUAGGUUCUGAGCAAGUUCUUCUUGGUGUGCGCAUGUCUUGGUUCGAUUUGAUGAGGACUUCCCCUGCAUGCAUAACCGAGUUUAAGUUCACAUCCACUCAUCCUUCUUCUUGUCUAGCCGAAACAACCCGCAACAAGGAGAAUCUAUCUUAAGGAGGUGCAUGGAACUCGAUUUUUGGAGCUCUUGGAGGGGAGAGGUUGAUGUCUCCUAAUCGAUUUGGCUAGUGUGUGUACCGCUAAGAGGUGCGCAUAAACCUCUAAGAACGUGGACUAUUCUGGUGCGGUUUGAAUUGUAUUUGGGCACGAAAGGUAUGUGUUUGGUGGUGAGACCUACUAUGACUAUUAGCUAGAGUAUGGAAUUUUGAACUGAUGCUCACAUGUCCCUUAUGAUUCGUAUUCUGUUAUAUGAUAUAUGAAAUCUGCCUUUGGACUUGUCUUGAUGGAAAAUUCUACCUAUGGAAGUGUUUUUUAUUCGGCAACUUGGUAUUAAAUAUACAAGAGAUAUAUGCUAUAUGAUUUAGUUAUGCAUUUGCACAUCAUGAUUCACCUGUGUCUGUUUGUGUGUGUGUCAAGCAUGUCAUAGCAUACAGAAUUAUGCA